rnacentral:rRNA from 1 species
UGUGUCCUACGGGACGCAGCAGUGAGGAAUAUUGGUCAAUGGUCGGGAGACUGAACCAGCCAAGCCGCGUGAGGGAUGAAGGUGCCAAGCAUUGUAAACUUCUUUUGUCAAGGGACAAAAUCAGGCUCGAGAGCCUGACCGAGGGUACUUGAAGAAAAAGCAUCGGCUAACUCCGUGCCAGCAGCCGCGGUAAUACGGAGGAUGCGAGCGUUAUCCGGAUUUAUUGGGUUUAAAGGGUGCGUAGGCGGACUGUUAAGUCAGCGGUAAAAUCCCGGGGCUCAACCCCGGCGAGCCGUUGAAACGGG